ensembl:lncRNA
GACAAGGCAUGCCCAGAUGCUGGCUGCCCUCCAGGGAAGCCCUAUGGCAAAUCUCAAGUCCUUGAAGGACAGGCAAAAGACAAAUGCCUGAUCUGUAGACAGGCGGGGCAUUGGGCCAAAGAGUGUCCAAACCAUGACAAGUCUCCUAAAACAGCUUGCCACAAAUGCCAUCAACUGGGACACUGGGUGACACUCUGCCCUCGGGACACAAGAGCCUCAAGGUCAAGCGCCAAGCCUAACCUCACGAUGGUUCAAAAGGACUGAAGCUGCCCGCUCCAGCCAGCCUGCCUGUCACAGAUAACCAUCAUGGGGCUGGAGCCAAGGGUGCAACUGGAUGUGGCAGAAACCUUGGACCACUGGACAAAACGCCGAGAAGGAUUGUCAGAAGAUCCUCUGACCAACCCUGAGGAACUCUGGUACACUGAUGGAAGCAGCUUUGUCUUGGAUGGAAAAAGAAGAGCCGUAUGCAGUAGUCUCCAAUUUUGAGACCAUAGAGGCUAAGCCUCUGCCACCAGACAUGAUGCCUGGAGCUGCAGCAGCCAUCCUGUAACCAUAAGAAAGAGGCCAAGAGAAGUGAGGACAUACCAGUCGAAACCCUGAUGCUGUCGAACAACAGAACCCAAGUCAGCAGCUGCCUACCCAGAGCCCUGUGAGGCACUCAGGCGUCAGUUGACACACAUGCAGGAGAUGGACCCAGGACCUGGGCCCAGGGAGGAACAGGAGCUGGAGCCCAGGUGAACUUCGUGGUGACCAGAUGACCUGCAGCCACGUGUGACCCGCUGAAGCCGUGACCAGGUGGUCCAAGCCCAGCCAGAGACAUGGUCGGGCGACUGCCAAAGGCAUCUCUGGGACACUGUUGAGGGGCACCUGGGCCACAGCACUUCCUGGAAC